GGGCCCGUGGCGGAACUGGCAGACGCAGCGGACUUAAAAUCCGCGGAAGGGCAACCUUCAUGGGGGUUCGAAUCCCUCCGGGCCCA
rnacentral:tRNA from 1 species